UGGUGUGUAAGUUAAGGUUUAAACUAUGGGGUUCAUGUCCCCACAAUAUGUUCAUUCAUCACACUGA
rnacentral:tRNA from 1 species